ACACGAUUCACAGUGUUCUCCAGUUGAAAAGGAAGCCAGACGUGUGAAGCUGUCUGGCUGUUGGAAGCUGGGCAAUGAUGUCAAUGUCAGCUUCUCCAGCAGGGUGGGUGGCUUCCAAGGAGAGCAGCUGCAUUCCCAGGAGAAGCCGAGAAGCUGCUAAGCUGUCAUCCACAAGACUAGAGUUUCAUGGACUAUCAACCGAAGGGGCUCCUAGUGCCGUCUCCUCUAAUCCCCUCAAUAUGCACAUGAGGGAAGUUGCUUCAGAUGGUCCCUGUGUGUAAGGGAAAGUUACGGGCAGAAUCUCAACUACAUCCAGGGGAGCCCAGUGUUCUUUCCUGUGCAAAGGGGUCAGGGGAGGUCCACAGAUGGGCAGAGCUGGCCUUAAAUGAAUUUGGUAGAAUAAAAAUUUUGCAAUACAUCAGUGGAAACAGCUAGAAUUUCUAGAACCUAGAAAUUCACAGGAAUAACAGGUGGAUGUGAGGUAUACACACCUGUAGUAGAAUCUCUGAAUAAUAAGAUGAGAAAAAUGCAAAAAUGAAAAGGUAUAAUGAGAUACACAUAACUGAAGGGAAUUGUCUUAAAUGGCUGAUUGUAAUGAGAUGUACAUAAAUUGUAAGGCUUGUAAUGAAAUGAAAAGAAAUCAUAUUCUUGCCUGAUAAUACUGGGUGUAAUGUCUAUACCAGAAAUAAGUUGUCUCAGUGCAUUGAGUGUAAUGAGAUGCACAUAAUUUUAAAGAGC
rnacentral:lncRNA from 1 species